rnacentral:rRNA from 1 species
UACGUAGGGUGCAAGCGUUGUCCGGAAUUAUUGGGCGUAAAGAGCUCGUAGGCGGUCUGUCGCGUCUGCUGUGAAAACUCGGGGCUUAACCCCCGGGCCUGCAGUGGGUACGGGCAGACUAGAGUGCGGUAGGGGGAGACUGGAAUUCCUGGUGUAGCGGUGAAAUGCGCAGAUAUCAGGAGGAACACCAAUUGCGAAGGCAGCUCUGGGACGUUACUGAGCUGAGACGCGAAAGCGUGGGGAGCAAACAGG